CCAAACUGGGGCCUGUAAAACGGGAUCCAGUCCUCCAAGCUCUCCCACCCUUGAUUCCAAUGCCCUGAGGGCAUCUUUUAAAGAUCCCUGCUACACGUGCUCAUUGAAGAAUUAAGUGAAUUUCUGCCUUUCUGUGAAGACUUGGAUAAUGAAGGAAGAAAGCUCUCACCAAAUGACCCAAGGCAACCCUUCCACCAUAAGAUCCACAGCCUCCAGCACUGUGAGAAAUGUUGUCUUUAAUGUUCUUUAUUGAACAUAAGAAAUAAUUAAAUGAUUCAGCCUGUGGUA